rnacentral:rRNA from 1 species
AACGCGAAGAACCUUACCUGGUCUUGACAUCCACGGAAGUUUUCAGAGAUGAGAAUGUGCCUUCGGGAACCGUGAGACAGGUGCUGCAUGGCUGUCGUCAGCUCGUGUUGUGAAAUGUUGGGUUAAGUCCCGCAACGAGCGCAACCCUUAUCCUUUGUUGCCAGCGGUCCGGCCGGGAACUCAAAGGAGACUGCCAGUGAUAAACUGGAGGAAGGUGGGGAUGACGUCAAGUCAUCAUGGCCCUUACGACCAGGGCUACACACGUGCUACAAUGGCGCAUACAAAGAGAAGCGACCUCGCGAGAGCAAGCGGACCUCAUAAAGUGCGUCGUAGUCCGGAUUGGAGUCUGCAACUCGACCCCAUGAAGUCGGAAUCGCUAGUAAUCGUGGAUCAGAAUGCCACGGUGAAUACGUUCCUGGGUCUUGUACACACGC